rnacentral:lncRNA from 1 species
ACAUACAACUCUAAAAAGAUAAAGAUGCUCCCGAACCUCAAGAUCCUGACCGAGAAAAGAGACGAGAGCUUAGAAUCUCGAUCUGCAUCUUUUAUUCUAUUUUAUCAAACGGACGAAGGGCGGUCUUGUUUGAGCAUGGUGAUGCUCUUCCUUUAUGUGUUCUUUAUUAUCAGUUGGUAUUAUUGGAGCAAUUAUCUAUUUCUUACAUUAUGAGAGUCAAUCGUUGUUGUAAUCAAAAUUUAUAUUUAGUUGUCCUUGUUCAUUCCUAUCAUUUAUCUAAGAUCUAGAAUUAGUUAUCUCUGGCUAAAAUUUGCCCUAAAUCUUUUUGCUAAAAUGGUUUAAUUAAAAGGGCCUAAUACUUUUUAGUCAAAUAAUUUGGCGCCGUCUAUGAGGAAUUUUCUAGCCAAAAUUUUUGUUUCUUCUAGAUCUAGUGUUAGAGUUCCAC